GGAUGUGAGAGCAAUAUGACUGUGGCAUCUGUCACCUCACUGAUUACCAGGGUUUAUUCAGCUAAUCUGACUGACUAGGCAUGUGUGCCAUUCCUCCCUUGCCAUUCCAUAUGUGUUCCUUCUGAAGCUGUACUCCUUGUCAAAAAGGACAGCAUUUCUGAUAGAUGCAUACCAUUUUUUGGUCAAGAUUAAAUGAAGAAGCUAUAUAUACUCCUCUGUUAAAACAAACUCCCAAAGUCUAUCUUUGGAAUGAUUACUCUCAAAAACUGCUACUGUUGCUGUUGCUGCUGCUGU
rnacentral:snRNA from 1 species